GUGCAACAAAAGGAGUCUAUGCAACAGAAACAAAGACUAGGAAGAAACUGUCAGCAAAGAAAGAAAAAGGCUGUCUCAACACCUGGAAACAUGUCUGGAAAACAAAAGACUCAACUGGGGAGGUGGUUCCAGGCUGGAAAGGAGAAUCCCAGUGUGCGUAUUAAGGAACAAUACCAUCAGGCUAAGUCUGGAAUCAAAGGAAACCCUAAAACAUCACAGAACCCUGAACAAUUAAAGAAGUGCCUCUGGCAGAAGGGAGGGGAAAAGUGGCCACAGAAGCUAAUCAGGAUGUGUCAGUGAAGAAGCUGACUGACUGAGACACAGAGUAUGUCUGCAAUCAGAGGUGUGUUUGCAGCUCAGACUAACUCACACAACCUGAAGAGUUUACUCCAAGACAAGUGGCUUAGUAUGAGUCACCCCUGAGGCCAU